CGUAACAAGGUUUCCGUAGGUGACCUGCGGAAGGAUCAUUG
rnacentral:rRNA from 1 species